rnacentral:rRNA from 1 species
AGUGAACGCUGGCGGUAGGCCUAACACAUGCAAGUCGAACGGCAGCACAGUAAGAGCUUGCUCUUACGGGUGGCGAGUGGCGGACGGGUGAGGAAUACAUCGGAAUCUACUUUUUCGUGGGGGAUAACGUAGGGAAACUUACGCUAAUACCGCAUACGACCUACGGGUGAAAGCAGUGGAUCUUCGGACCUUGCGCGAUUGAAUGAGCCGCUGUCGGAUUAGCUAGUUGGCGGGGUAAAGGCCCACCAAGGCGGCGAUCCGUAGCUGGUCUGAGAGGAUGAUCAGCCACACUGGAACUGAGACACGGUCCAGACUCCUACGGGAGGCAGCAGUGGGGAAUAUUGGACAAAGGGCGCAAGCCUGAUCCAGCCAUACCGCGUGGGUGAAGAAGGCCUUCGGGUUGUAAAGCCCUUUUGUUGGGAAAGAAAAGCAGCAGGUUAAUACCCCGCUGUUCUGACGGUACCCAAAGAAUAAGCACCGGCUAACUUCGUG